rnacentral:tRNA from 1 species
ACCUGGCUGGCUCAGUGGGUAGAGCAUGUGACUCUUGUUCUCAGGGUCAUAAGUUCAAGACCCAUGUUGGGCA